UACGUAGGUGGCAAGCGUUGUCCGGAAUUAUUGGGCGUAAAGCGCGCGCAGGUGGUUCUUUAAGUCUGAUGUGAAAGCCCCCGGCUCAACCGGGGAGGGUCAUUGGAAACUGGGGAACUUGAGUGCAGAAGAGGAUAGUGGAAUUCCAAGUGUAGCGGUGAAAUGCGUAGAGAUUUGGAGGAACACCAGUGGCGAAGGCGACUGUCUGGUCUGUAACUGACACUGAGGCGCGAAAGCGUGGGGAGAGAACAGG
rnacentral:rRNA from 1 species